rnacentral:rRNA from 1 species
CACGUAGGGCGCAAGCGUUGUCCGGAAUUAUUGGGCGUAAAGAGCUCGUAGGCGGACUGUCACGUCUGCUGUGAAAAGCUGGGGCUUAACCCUGGCCUUGCAGUGGAUACGGGCAGACUAGAGGUAGGUAGGGGAGAAUGGAAUUCCCGGUGUAGCGGUGAAAUGCGCAGAUAUCGGAAGGAACACCGGUGGCGAAAGCGGCGCGCUGGACCUCUUCUGACGCUGAGGCGCGAAAGCCAGGGGAGCGAACGGG